rnacentral:rRNA from 1 species
ACUGCUCAGUAACACGUAGUCAACCUGCCCUGGAGACAUGGACAACCCCGGGAAACUGGGAUUAAUCCGUGAUAGGUCACCACAUCUGGAAGGAGUGAUGGCCCAAAGGGCUGUGCAGGCUUCUUCUGCACUUUCGCUCCAGGAUGGGACUGCGGCCGAUCAGGCUGUUGGCGGUGUAAUGGACCACCAAACCUGUAACCGGUACGGGCUUUGAGAGAAGGAGCCCGGAGAUGGACACUGAGAAAAGGGUCCAGGUCCUACGGGGCGCAGCAGGCGCGGAACCUUCGCAAUGCGCGAAAGCGUGACGAGGUUAGUCCGAGUGGCUUCCGCUGAGGAGGUCUUUUGUUAGCUGUAAAAAGGCUAGAGAAUAAGGGGAGGGCAAGCCUGGUGUCAGCCGCCGCGGCAAUACCAGCUCCUCGAGUGGUCGGGGCGAUUAUUGGGCCUAAAGCAUCCGUAGCCGGUUCGGUAGGUCCCCUGCUAAAUCCAAUCGCUCAACGAUUGGCCCGCAGGGGAUACCGCCGGACUAGGAGGCGGGAGAGGAGGACGGCACUCCGCGGGUAGGGGUAAAAUCCUUUGAUCCGCGGAAGACCACCAGUGGCGAAGGCGGUCCUCCAGAACGCGCUCGACGGUGAGGGAUGAAAGCUGGGGGAGCGAACCGGAUUAGAUACCCGGGUAGUCCCAGCCGUAAACGAUGCUAGCUAGAUGAUUCAGUCGCAAAUCGCGCCUGAAGUGUCGCAGGGAAGCCGUUAAGCUAGCCGCCUGGGGAGUACGGUCGCAAGGCUGAAACUUAAAGGAAUUGGCGGGGGAGCACCACGAGGGGUGAAGCCUGCGGUUCAAUUGGAUUCAACGCCGGA